AGGGGCGAACGUGGUGCGUGGAAAAGCCAGAACCCGCUCUGCUGGGCGGGAGGACGCAGGAGGCCUCUGGGCAUCUGAGCUGAGCUGUUGACCCACACGCUGGAUGCUGCGGGCAGAAACUAAAAUGAUUACAUCUUGCUCACCGUGCUCGGCCUCCGCGAGAGAGCUGGGCGGGGAGGAGGAGGCGCCCCCGGAAGGACCGGCAGAUGAAGAAAUAGAGGUUCAGAGGGCUUCAGGACUUGUUCCAGGUCCCUCAGGGACCAUGGCAGGAUUUGACCUCCAGCAGGUGUCUCCGGGGCUGGAACGUGACUGCAACAGAUCAGAGAACACGCUUCCCGCGUCUUGAAACUCGGGCUCCAGGCAGCCAGACCUGUCGGAACGGGUCUCCGGUAGAAAUGCUCAG